UGAAGGCACGGGUAUUAUCUGUCUUUGUCUAAUUCUUUUACUUUCACAUAUGUCUUGAAUAUCUGUCUCCUUCUUAUGCUGGCUAUCAACUUGAAUUAAAAACCUAAAGCGCUAGAUAUCGUCGAUCAAUUCAUUUAAAUUGCAUCACCUUGUAGUGAAAGGUUUGUUGAUGUAUUCGAUCAUCUUCGAGUCAUCGGAAGUUCCUUUCGAUCAUGGCUAAAUUAUCCCUUCAUCACUUUGCAAAUUCCAACUGCAUUUGAUUGUUGUUGGGACAACCCUUUGCGCUGCGCUAUCAUGAAGAGGAUCCAAAGCUUACCCCGUUUAACAGAGAACCGUGGGUUUCUAAAAUAGUAAGCCAUCUGUGUUCUCAUCCUCCCCCUCUCUGUCUCCAUAGACGUUCUCUUUUGUUGUCUUUCCAUUUCCUUGCUUUGUUUGUUUCAAUUUUUUUCUUUUUUCUGUUUACAGUUAGUAUUGCCAAUUGCCGUGGACUUCAGCAGUAUCUACCCGUGGAUGUUGAGGAGGCAUUUCACUUGUGAAAGAUCGAAUAUGCAGGUUGAAAAUAGGUGUCAAUGACUUUGGAGAUGAAGCUAUUGGGUCCUUUGUUAGACAGCUGAGGUCAAUAGUAAAAUAGAGUAGUUGGUUUAGGUUUGUACGAGCCAUAGCACAUGCAAUUGUACAGUUUCUUUGAUUUGUAUUCCCUAACUUUAAAAAAAUUGCUUGAUUGUUUUGGAAUUCAAUGCACUAAAUUUUGAUGAUCCUAUGUAGAAUUUUUGAAAAUUGAAUGAGCCAGGGCCGUUGGUCAAUGCUUUUGAA